rnacentral:lncRNA from 11 species
GCUGGUUCUCCGGAACCAUGGAUGGUGCAUCUACCCAAAAGCAACCCUUAUGAAACGUUGGAAGAGAUGUCUCUGCCCAUUCUCUCCUCUCUCUUCACCACGUCUUUUUCUUCCUCUCCAGGGUCACUUGGUGGUUCUGCGCAUUGCCCUACAGCCUGUUGAUCUUCAUCUACGACGAAGUGAGGAAACUCCUCCUCCGGCGCUAUCCUGGUGGCUGGGUGGAGAAGGAGACGUACUACUAAACCCAUGAUGCCAAGCCGAAGCCUCCGACCGGAAGCCCUGCCCCUCACAACCUGUAGCCAAAUGCGUAGUUGGCAGGAUGCAAUAAAUGUAACUUAACCUCUUCUCACCACUGCCUUGCCAGGGGCAUAUAAGGCAUCGCCAGCUGAUAUAAUCUUUUGCACAAUCAGUAGGUUCACUCCAGUUCCAUAAUGUUGCUUGGCAGGUAUUGGUUUCAAUGGGCCCGUGCUCUCUUCCAGAUGAAGGCUGUCCACCAUCUAGCUCAGUGAUUCCCAAAGUAGGCGCUACCGCCCCCUAGUGGGCACUGCAGGGAUCCAGGGGGCGGUGAUGGUGCCUAUUAGGACACGGGGGCGGGGCCAGAGGAGGGGUGGGGCCUCUUCCCAAGAGCCUGAGAUAAGGCUGAGCCUGAGACAGGGCUGAGCCUCUAUAUUUCUCCUGAGAAGCCUUUUAGGACUAAAGGGCGGGCUUAGGGGUGGGGGCGGGGCCUCUUCCCAAGAGCAUGUGACAGGGCUGAGCUUCUAUACCUCUACUGAGAAGCAUUUUAGGAUUAAAGGGCGGG